ACAGACAGACAAUCUCACUGAUAUACAUAAGCUCAUUGACACACAGCCUCAUAGACAGACAAUCUCACUGAUAUACAUAAGCUCAUUGACACACAGCCUCAUAGGCAGACAAUCUCACUGAUAUACAUAAGCUCAUUGACACACAGCCUCAUAGACAGACAAUCUCACUGAUAUACAUAAGCUCAUUGACAUAAAAACACAAGCGCACUCACUAGGAGGCAGACAGCUUAAUGUAGUGGUUCUGGUGUCUAUAGGCUUUCAAUGUAAACACUGACUUUUCAGAGAAAAGGCAUUGUUUACAUUGCUUCCUAAUGACACCUCUAGUGACAGACACUAGAGGUGCUUCCUGUAUCAGCGCAGAUUGGCUGAGAUCAUCAAGCUUGAUGAUCUCGGCCAUAGAGGCAGGGCCAGUUGAGGGGAGACCAGCACGACGUUGGAGAGUAAAAACACUAUUUUUUAAAAACACCCACAGACACACACACCUUGACACACCCAGACACACAUAAUUGUUGUAACCUGUGGGCAGACAGAUUGGUGUGCUGGCGGCUGCAGGGAGCUGGCUCUUCU